UACGUAGGGGGCUAGCGUUGUCCGGAAUCAUUGGGCGUAAAGCGCGUGUAGGCGGUCCGGUAAGUCCGCUGUGAAAGUCGAGGGCUCAACCCUCGAAUGCCGGUGGAUACUGUCGGGCUUGAGUACGGGAGAGGCGAGUGGAAUUCCCGGUGUAGCGGUGAAAUGCGCAGAUAUCGGGAGGAACACCAAUGGCGAAGGCAGCUCGCUGGGACGGUACUGACGCUGAGACGCGAAAGCGUGGGGAGCGAACAGG
rnacentral:rRNA from 1 species